GACGAACGCUGGCGGCGUGCUUAACACAUGCAAGUCGAACGAAGUGGCGAACGGGUGAGUAACGCGUAAUCAACCUGCCCUUCCUAGGGGGACGACUGUUGGAAACGACUUCUCAUACCGCAUCCUGCAGGAGGUGAUUGCGUCUGAUUAGCUAGUUGGCGGGGUAAGGGCCCACCAAGGCGAUGAUCAGUAGCCGGUCUGAGAGGAGGACCGGCCACAUUGGGACUGAGACACGGCCCAGACUACUACGGGAGGCAGCAGUGGGGAAUCGUCCGCAAUGGACGAAAGUCUGACGGAGCAACGCCGCGUGAGUUAUGACGGCCUUCGGGUUGUAAAGCUCUGUUAAUCGGGACGCGGUACCGGAAUAGAAAGCCACGGCUAACUACGUGCCAGCCGCCGCGGUAAUAC
rnacentral:rRNA from 1 species